rnacentral:rRNA from 1 species
UACGUAGGUGGCAAGCGUUGUCCGGAGUUAUUGGGCGUAAAGCGCGCGCAGGCGGUGCGGUAAGUCUCUGGUGAAAGCGCUCGGCUUAACUGGGCGAGGGCCGGGGAGACUGCCACGCUGGAGGGGAGCAGAGGCGAGUGGAAUUCCGGGUGUAGUGGUGAAAUGCGCAGAUAUCGGGAGGAACACCGGUGGCGAAGGCGGUUCUCUGGGCCCUACCUGACGCUGAGGAGCGAAAGCGUGGGGAGCGAACAGG